rnacentral:rRNA from 1 species
UUCCGUAGGGUGACCUGCGGAGGGAUCAUUACAAGUGACCCCGGUCUAACCACCGGGAUGUUCAUAACCCUUUGUUGUCCGACUCUGUUGCCUCCGGGGCGACCCUGCCUUCGGGCGGGGGCUCCGGGUGGACACUUCAAACUCUUGCGUAACUUUGCAGUCUGAGUAAACUUAAUUAAUAAAUUAAAACUUUUAACAACGGAUCUCUUGGUUCUGGCAUCGAUGAAGAACGCAGCGAAAUGCGAUAAGUAAUGUGAAUUGCAGAAUUCAGUGAAUCAUCGAAUCUUUGAACGCACAUUGCGCCCCCUGGUAUUCCGGGGGGCAUGCCUGUUCGAGCGUCAUUUCACCACUCAAGCCUCGCUUGGUAUUGGGCAACGCGGUCCGCCGCGUGCCUCAAAUCGACCGGCUGGGUCUUCUGUCCCCUAAGCGUUGUGGAAACUAUUCGCUAAAGGGUGCUCGGGAGGCUACGCCGUAAAACAAACCCAUUUCUAAGGUUGACCUCGGAUCAGGUAGGGAUACCCGCUGAACUUAAGCAUAUCAAUAAGCGGAGGAA